GUCCGUCAUGAUAGGAGCGAUGGCAACCAUGGCAUCUUUGUCCAUGGCAACAGGAGAUUAUGGGUAGAAAAUCUUACAUCAGACAUGGAUUGUGUUUGUUCAGCCAGAGAAUGCCCAGUAUUCAAACAGCAGAGCCAUGCUUUGCCAUUGCAUGGGGUUCCUCAACUACACUGAUACCAAGAAGUGAACUUAGUGUGUUAUCAUUUUCAAGCCAUUCUGCCUAAAGGUUUGAAAUUUGACCUUGGAUGACUCAAAGACUUUUCCUCAAAAAGACAUGCAUGUCUACCCGAAGAAUAUAAGUGAAUCAUCCCAGAUAGAGUGUCUCACAGAACAAAUGAUGAUUGAAUGGGACCACAAUGGCCAGGAAUGAAUUUUGGGGAAGCCGUUGCAUGAACCCCAAAUGUAUGAUGUGACAUGCAACUGAACUGAACUCUCUGAGGAUGAAACAACUACAAAGCAGGGCUUCAGGUUUGCAUCUUGGAAAAUGGAAUCUGAGACAAUGGCCUCUCUUGCAGAAGCUGGAGAAAGAGCAGAUACCUAUAUAU